GACGAACGCUGGCGGCGUGCCUAAUACAUGCAAGUAGAACGCUGAAGCUUGGUGCUUGCCCCGAGCGGAUGAGUUGCGCACGGGUGAGUAACGCGUAGGUAACCUGCCUGGUAGCGGGGGAUAACUAUUGGAAACGAUAGCUAAUACCGCAUAAGAGUAGAUGUUGCAUGACAUUUGCUUAAAAGGUGCAAUUGCAUCACUACCAGAUGGACCUGCGUUGUAUUAGCGAGUUGGUGAGGUAACGGCUCACCAAGGCAACGAUACAUAGCCGACCUGAGAGGGUGGUCAGCCAGACUGGGACUGAGACACGGCCCAGACUCCUACGGGAGGCAGCAGUAGGGAAUCUUCGGCAAUGGACGGAAGUCUGACCGAGCAACGCCGCGUGAGUGAAGAAGGUUUUCGGAUCGUAAAGCUCGGUUGUAAGAGAAGAACGAGUGUGAGAGUGGAAAGUUCACACUGUGACGGUAUCUUACCAGAAAGGGACGGCUAACUACGUG
rnacentral:rRNA from 1 species